CUGGAUCUUUCGUUCACUCGGUCUUUCGUUCAACUCGUUCAUCGGUCUGGGUCUUUCGUUCAACUCGGUCUUUCGUUCAACUUGUUCAUCCGUCUGGAUCUUUCGUUCAACUCGGUCUUUCGUUCACUCGGUCUUUCGUUCAACUCGUUCAUCCGUCUGGAUCUUUCGUUCACUCGGUCUUUCGUUCAACUCAGUCUUUCGUUCAUUUGACCCGUUCUUUCAGUCAACUAGGUCUUUCGUUCAUUUGACCCGUUCUUUCAGUCAACUAGGUCUUUCGUUCAUUUGACCCGUUCUUUCAGUCAACUCGGUCAUUCCGGUCUUUCAGUCAGCUCAGUAGUACUGCUGCUGCUUCUCUAAGCCCCACCCACACACAGAACGAGGCGCGACGAUAGGAUAAGACAGGCAAGCAGUCCCUCUUCAGCCAAUCAAAAGAACUGAACGGAUUGAACGGGUCAUUUAGGGGGGGAGAACUAGUUCAUUUCGUUCAUCAAAAAGAACUAGUUCUUUUGAUCCGUUCGUUCAAGACCGACACACCACUACUG